rnacentral:rRNA from 1 species
UACGUAGGGGGCAAGCGUUGUCCGGAAUCAUUGGGCGUAAAGCGCGUGUAGGCGGCCCGGUAAGUCCGCUGUGAAAGUCGGGGGCUCAACCCUCGGAUGCCGGUGGAUACUGUCGGGCUUGAGUACGGAAGAGGCGAGUGGAAUUCCUGGUGUAGCGGUGAAAUGCGCAGAUAUCAGGAGGAACACCGGUGGCGAAGGCGGGUCUCUGGGCCGAUACUGACGCUGAGGAGCGAAAGCGUGGGGAGCAAACAGG